GAGCCUCUUACACAACUUUCAGGGGUUCAGGCACCCCAACUUAGCAGAAUACGUAACCCAGAUUUCUCAAUUCAAGGUAUAGAGCCUUUUAAUGGCUCCAGUCAACCAAUGAAGACGCCAACUAAUGAUGAGAGACGCCCUGCAGAACCGUCUCCAGAUGAUACUCAAAGCACUCAAGAUCUACAAAUGGGCAACGACCAGAUAGAAGAUCCAUAUGGAAUAUUUGAGCCCGUUGU